rnacentral:lncRNA from 1 species
UCAAUUUUAAGUACAAAUCUGGCCAUCGAAGGCCCCAAUCAGACGAUCCAUUCUCCUUGGCCCAUACCCCUUUACCCUACCAUAUAAAAGCCAACUCUUUCACAAAAAAAGGAAGAAAACCUUAGAGAAAAAGGGGAAGGUUGCACAGUAGCUUGAGAAACAGAGAGUGACGAGAGAACGGAGCUUCCCUUGGAUUUUUUAAAAGCAAGAGCCUUUCCACAUACACACACAGUAAAAUACACAAAAGAGAAAAGAGACAUCAGCACACACACCAAAAAUAGAAAAAAAGAAAAACGGCAAAAAAAGGGUGAGGAAAGUAAUUGAGGCGGUGGGACAGUGAGUGACGGCAGACACAAAAAUUAGGAGCCUUUCACCUUUUUCUUUUUCCUUAUCUCCACCAUGAACCUCCAUAAUAAUACCUGAUUUUUAUCCAUUAAUAUCAAGUCUCAAAUUUUCCAUGAACACCCUAAAAUCCACCUCCAACUUACCUAAAAAUCUUGUCAAAAAUGACCCCAAAAAUUCCAUUUCAAUUGCUCAUACUAGCUGGUCUUAGAAGAGAGGAGGGAUUUUGAAAACAGAGAGGGAAAGGCGAGAAUUUGGAGUCCAGUCCGUGUUCGAGUUCCCGCUGCCAUCGAGGUUUUUUCGAUUUUGUUUCUAGGUCCCGGCGGGGUCGCCUUUAGAUUCGGUUGUUAUUUUGUUUGUUCUGGCAAAUAUUCUGAUUCUGGAUUUGCCUCAUUAAUACAAAGGUUCAUUUCCCUUUUCUAUUUUGUUCGUAUCGCUAAUGUUCUAGAUCAUUUUUGUAUUGAUUUAAUUUGUGUGAUAUGGAUGACUUUUGUUCUUUUAGUUUUCUAUGUUUGAACAUUAAUCUGUUGAGUACGUUUCCUUUUAGUUCAUUCUUUUAAUUUUCUUAGCAAAUCAUAUGGUUAAUCUCAUUAUUAAUCUAACUUUUCUUAUCUAUUUUAAUUCAUACCUUAGUAAUCAAUUUGUCUUGCGAAGUAAUAAUAUGGGAACUUAAGUUAUGAGAGUUUUCUUCAAUGAAUUAAUAGGUUUUCCGUCUCAUCAUUCUUUAUUGUCAUUUUAAUCUUCUUCUUAACGAUUAAUUUGUUCUCUCUGUAUCUAUAUGUCCAUGAGUUGAAUUUUGAUCUAGUCUCAAGUAUUGGUCAGUAGAAUUGAUGGACAUGUUGGGUGUAAGGUUUUAUUUGGACUAAAAGGCUUCAUAUAAUUAUGGGCUGAUUAAUUCUAACUUUGCUAGCGCCUAAAGUAGUAAGCACAUUGCUGACCCCUUCUUCUUCAAUGACAAAGCUGGCCUACUUUUCCCAUAACUAAUCUAUUCUUUACGCAAUUAUUCCAUAACCUAUGGCCUUUACAAUAAUCUCUAUGAUUAGGAAGAACAAUUCAUAAACAUCGUAGUUUGCUUUAGGUGUGAUUAAUAAAUUAUUGUGGUCAUGGGUACAGUUCCCGUGGCAUGGUCACGAUACAUAUCCCCUAUUCGAGUGCGCAUUUCACGUGACUCGACCUUACAACUUCAAAUAAUAUUAAUAACAAACAUGUUGUUGUCACGACCCCAAAUACCGGUCGUGAUGGCGCCUAUCACAAUACUAGGCAAGCCAUUCAAUCAACUAACCACGACCCAUUUUCCUUUAGUAAUAAACCAUUUUUCUAACACAAGUUUUAAAUACUGAAGUCAUUAUAAGAGUUAAAACAACAGAAAUAUGCGGAAGGUCAAAAUAACAAUAACUACAUAGCCCUAACAAUCUGGUGUCACGAGUCUAAAGCCUCUAAUACAAUUCUGAAUACCUAAUACAUCAAUAGUCUAGGAAAUGCGGGAAGAUAAGAGGGAGAGAACAGGGUUGCGAACGCCAUGCAGUUACCUCCAAGUCUUCGUCAAAUACUGAAACUGCUGAAAGCCCUCACUCAGCUGCUCGGGCACCUGGAUCUACACACAAGGUGCAGGGAGUAACGUGAGUACGCCAACUCAGCAAGUUACUUUAGUAAAUAAGGACUGAAAGCAGUGACGAGUAGUUCAAAAAUACAUAACUAGAUAAUCAACAGAAUAUCAGGUCAUCUUGACAGUUUAAAAUCAGUUUUUGUUAAAAAAUCACAUUUCCAGUUUAAACAUUUGGAAUUUGUGACGACCCGGCCAGCCGUCUCAUGAAUUACUGCUCUGUUUCCCCAUUUCAGCUUCUUUAUGCUUCGUUAUCCGUGUUUUUGUGGUAUCGGGCUGGUCGGAUCGAAUCCGAAAUGUGUUUGGUGAAGUUUGAGACACUUAGUCUCUUUUAAGAAGGCUUAAGUUGGAAAAGUCAACCGUAUGUUGACUUAUGUGUUAGAAGGCUCAUAAGUGAGUCCUGAUGGUUCGAUUAGCUUCAGGAGGUGAUUUGUGACUUAGGAGUGCGAUGGAAUGGGUUUUGGAGUUGUAGAGAAAAUUUAGGCUUAAUUUGGCGAAGUUGAUAUUUUGGCGAUUUCAGGUUUUUAGGCGAGAUUUUGAUAUAGAAUCGGAAUGGAAUUUUGAGAGUUGCAGUAGCUUCGUUGUGUCAUAAGGGAUGUGUAUGCAAAAUUUCAGGUCAUUCCGACGAGAUUUGAUAGACUUUUUGAUCGAAAGCAUAAUUUAAGAGUUCUUGGAGUUCUUAGGCUUGAAUCAUAUGUUAAAUUGGUGAUUUGAAGUUGUUGUGAGUGUUCCGAAGUUUUGAUUAAGUUUGAACGAUGUCAUGGGAUGUGUUGGUUUGAUGUUUCGGGGGUUCCGGGUAGGUUCCGGGAUGUUUUAGGCCGAAAAUCAUAGUUGUAGCAGGUCCAGAAGGGUUGCAGGCCUCGGAUCCCGCCAGCGCGGUCCGUACAAAAUGAAGUGUGGCCGCGGUAGGUGUUGUGCGGUCGCGGUAGGUGUUGUUCGGACUGCACAAAAUGCAAUGCGGCAACGAUGGGGAGCAUUUCACUGGUCCUACUUAGGAAGCUCAUAUCUUUUGAUCUACAAGAAAUUUUGAGAUGAUUCAAAAACGACAGUUGUAGCCUUCGUUUCUAGUUUCCAGAAAGGUAAAGAUAUUGCAAUUUGGACAUUUGUAGCAAAAGUUAUGGUCAAAAUACUAAAGCCUGUCACUGCAGAUGAAAACAUGUGCGGCCGCAGUCGUUUUUGUGCAGACCGCAUUGGUUUUGUGCGGACUGCGGUCNNNNNNNNNNNNNNNNNNNNNNNNNUUUUGCCCGAGGGGCUUCUGAUGAUUUUUGGACUAAGUAAGGCCGAAGGCCUAGUUGUGAGGAUACAUUGAUACUGAUAUGAGGCCGAGGGCCUGAGAUACAUAAAUAUGCCACGAGGUAGCUUGAUUGAUAUGAGGCCGAGGGCCUAGAUUUGAUGCCACGAGAUGGCUUGAUAUUGCGCUUGGGCCGUAAGGGGCCCCUCCCGAAGUCUAUACACCACCAGUGAGCGUGGGUACCUAUUGUGAUGUGAGAUUUAGCCCGAGGGGCUGGUAUUGUUCUGAGAUUUGAGUCCGAGGGGCUGGUACUGUUCUGAGAUAUUUCUCGAGGGGCGGAUUUGUUGAUAUUGUGCCCGAGGGGCAAAUUUUUAUUUGUUUACUUACCUGUCAAUUACUUGUUUUACUUGUUGAGAAAGGGAUUUUCACUAUUUUACUGUUUUAAGUAUUUUUUCUGCUUUAGUAUAGAAUGCCUUGUGUUUUACUUGUUUUCUUACUUUCGGUCGUUAUUUACAUUUGCUACUCACUGAGUUGGAGUACUCACUUUACUCCCUGCACCCUAUGUGCAGAUUCACGCGUAGCUGGUACCGCUCUUGAGUGUUGAUUCCUCCAGUUCUAGGCGGUUUUCGGAGACUUCGAGGUAGUUGUUGACGUCUGCAGCCCCAUGUCUCUACAUAUCUAUCAUUUCUAUUUCCUUUCAAACACUUGUAGUAGUUUAUGACUUUAGCAGACUAGUAUUAUGGUUUAGAGAUGCUCGUGACUUGUGACACCCCGGUUAGGGCUGUGUUAAGUUGGACUUUCCGCAUUGUUAUCGAUAUUUCCGCUACUUAGUAUUGCUAUAUCAUGUUUUAGACUGCUUUUAUGUUAUUUAACUGCUUUAACAUGUGAAUUGGUUUAGUUGGCUGGCCUUGUCUUCACGAGAAGCGUCAUCACGACCGGGUUUGGGGUUAGGGUCGUGACAAAAUCAAAUACUUAGCGGUAUAUCAAAUAGUGGCUUAUUUAAAAGAAGAGUGAAAUCAGUGAAAACAUCAUAACAAGGCCUCUCGGGCAACCUCUCAGUCACUCGUGACUCGACUCUCGUCACACAGUACUCACUCUCAGCACUCGGCUCAUUAGUAUCUCAUAAUAAUAGAAAUCAUAGUACCUGCUGCGGCGUGCAGCCCGAUCCAUAUAUAAUAGUCGACUACGCUCAAUGGGGGUGUACAGACUCCGGAGGGGCUCCUACAGCCCAAGCGUCAUAUUAUUGUGGCACACAGCCCAAUCCAAUAUAUAUAUCGUUGCGGCGUGCAGCCUAAUCCAAUAUAUAUAUUGCUGCGGCGUGCAGCCCGAUCCAUAAUAUAUACAUAUCAUAUCUUUGCUAUUAGGUUCUCAACCUCUCUCAGUCAUUAACCUCACAGCCUCUCGGGCACAACAAUAGAAAUUAGGGAACUCAGCCCAAGCAGUCCUCACAAUUAGAAGUGGAAAGAUAAAACCAGUUUUAAACAUUUAAGCAGGUAAAACAUGACUGAGGACUUGUUUCUAGCAAUUAGAGUGAGGAAAAUAGUCAAAAUGCCCAUAAGGGUUGCUACAGGUCGGCACAAGGCCCCAAACAUGGCAUACAGCCCAUAAUACAAUAAUAAUUUCCAAAAAUACGGAAUAACAUAAUAUUUACAAAUCACAUAUACGGCUUAAUAGUCGCUACGGGACGGACAAUCCCUACCGGUGCAUGCCCACAAGCUCGUCACCUAGCAUGUGCGUCACCGNNNNNNNNNNNNNNNNNNNNNNNNNNNNNNNNNNNNNNNNNNNNNNNNNNNNNNNNNNNNNNNNNNNNNNNNNNNNNNNNNNNNNNNNNNNNNNNNNNNNNNNNNNNNNNNNNNNNNNNNNNNNNNNNNNNNNNNNNNNNNNNNNNNNNNNNNNNNNNNNNNNNNNNNNNNNNNNNNNNNNNNNNNNNNNNNNNNNNNNNNNNNNNNNNNNNNNNNNNNNNNNNNNNNNNNNNNNNNNNNNNNNNNNNNNNNNNNNNNNNNNNNNNNNNNNNNNNNNNNNNNNNNNNNNNNNNNNNNNNNNNNNNNNNNNNNNNNNNNNNNNNNNNNNNNNNNNNNNNNNNNNNNNNNNNNNNNNNNNNNNNNNNNNNNNNNNNNNNNNNNNNNNNNNNNNNNNNNNNNNNNCUUUGCCCCUCGAAUCGGCUUCCACUUGCAUCGAAUCUAUUCAAAAUCAGAAUCACGGCGUCAAAAUAUGCUAAGGGAAUGAAGCCCAAGCAAAAACUAUCGAAAAAUACCAAAAAUAUCGAAAUUGGCCAAACCCGACCCCCGGGCCCACGUCUCAAAACUCGAUAAAAAUUACAUCAACGAAAUCCUUGUCUCCCCACGAGUCUAUACAUAUCAAGAACACAAAAAUCGGAGUCUAAAUGACCCCUCAAAUCCUCACUUAAAGUCUUUUAAUCUCAAGCCCUAAUUCCUCGAUUUUAGGCUUAGAUUCCAUGAUUUAUUAGGUAGAUUUCACAAUAGCAUCGAGUUUUAAGUCCAAAAUUCUUACCUCAAAACGUUUCCCCUUGAAUCCCUCUUCAAUAUCCUUCAAAAAGCUCCAAAAACGACCAACUAUGGAGUAAAAUAGACCAACAUUCGCGGACAAGACGACCUUUUAAACAUUAUGCCCAGGCCUGAAAAUCCUUUUUCGCGAACACGGUCAAAGCCUCGCGUUCGCGAACCACAAAAACUCCAUUGAUCAAAACUCUUCUUCGCUAACGCGAUACCCCAUCGCGAACGCGAUGCCUCAGCUUCGCCAACCUACGCGAACGCGGCCCUGGCUCACGCGAACGCGAUGCCUACCAAUCCAGCCCUUCGCGAACGUGGGACUACCCUUCGCGAACGCAAAGGCCAAACAUGACGCCUCCCUUCCUGACCCUUUAUGAACACGAGGGUCCUCUCGCGAACGCGAAGACCAAAUCACCUGCAACAGCUGAAACCAUUUUUCUGCAAUCUUUCUUAACUCAAAAUGAUCCGAAUGACCACCCGAAACUCACUCGAGGCCCCCGGUACCUCAACCAAAGGCACCAACAUAUCUUAAAACCUUAUUAAAAUUUGUACCAAUCUUCAAAACACCUCAAACGACAUCAAAUCACCCAAAAGACAUCGGAUUCAAGCCUAAGUUUCUAAAAUCUUCGAAAAUACGCUUUUGAUGAAAAACCCAACCAAACCAUGUCUGAAUGACCUGAAACUUUACACACACGUCCCAAUUAACACAACAAAGCUACUGAAACUCUCGGAAUUCCAUUCUGAUCCCUAUAUCAAAAUCUCGCCUAUCAAUCGGAAAUCGCCAAAAUCUCAACUAACCCAAUUCAAGCCUAAAUCUACUCUGAACCUCUAAAACCCAUUCCGGUCACGCUCCUAAGUCAUAAAUCACCUCCCAAAACUAACCAAACCAUUUGAAAUCACAUCCGAGCCUUCUAACACAUAAGUUAACAUCCGGUUGACUUUUUCCAACUUAAACUCCCUUAAAGGAGACUAAGUGUCUCAAACCUUAACAAAAAUCAUUCCGGACUCGAUCCGACAAACCCGAUACCACAAAACACGGAUAACAAAGCAUAAAAAAGCAGAAAUGGGGGAAAUGGGGUGAUAACUCAUGAGACAACUGCCCGGGUCAUCACAGUUGUAAAUCGCGGGUGCGUUUCAUGUGACGCGAUUCGCAAUGUGUACAAAACUUAAUCCCCAAUUCGAGUGCGCGUUUCACGUGACUCAACCUUACAACAUCAAAUAAUAAUAAUAAUAAUAAACAUGUUGUAAAUUACGGGUGCAUUUCAUGUGAUUCGAUUUGCAAUGUGUACAAAAAUAAACGAGUGCGCGACAUCGCGACUUGUUCAAAAAUUCCAUAAAUAAUAAAAGCGGUUAAAAAGUAAAAAAUGCAAUAUGUUUUAAACCUGUAAUAAAUCAGAUAAUUAGGCCAAUUAUUAAUAGUUGAGCGACCGUGCUAAAACCACAAAACCCGAGAAUGUCUAACACCAUCUCCCGGGUUAACAGAAUUCCUUACCCGGUCUUCUGUGUUUUGUGGACUGUGAAAGUCAAAUAUCCUCGAUUUGGGAUUUAAAAUAAAUCGGUGACUUGUGACACCAUAAAUUAUCCCAAGUGGAGACUAUGAAUUAAAUAAACAAUCAUGUUUCGAAUAAUGUCACUUAAAUUUGAAUAACUCCCUAUCCCUCGAGAAAAAAGAGGUGUGACAAGCAUCAACACUUAUGAAUUGGUGGCAAUUCUGAGAGGAAUGAGAGACAAGGUACGAUGGCCAAAAGAAAUGAGGUCGGAUCCAAACAAACGGAACCUAGAAUUCUAGUGUGAGUUUCACAAUGGUCAUGGCCAUAGAACAGCAGAUGGAAGGCUCUUUAUAAGGGGAAGUGAAUAUCUACUGAAGCAAGGCUAUCUCACUCAUCUAUUUAGUGAGAAAGGAAAACAAUCUUACAUGAAAAACAAGCAAGAACCACCAAAGCCUCCAUUUCCUAAAAGAACGGUAAACGUCAUAAUCGAGGGAGAAGAAGUUAAUGGGGUAACUUACACGGCUACGAAAAAGACAUCAAAGGUCACUGCCCCCUACGAGAAAUGAGUUCGCCAAGUUUUGGAAGGAGACAACAUAGUGUUCGAUGAUGAAGACGCGGAUGGCUUGAUGAUUCCUCACAACAAUGCACUGGUAAUAUCUUUACUUGUACAUAAUAUUAAUGUUAAACGAGUUUUGAUUGACCCAGGUAGCUCAGUAAACAUCAUUUUACUGAGAGUGGUAAAUGAAAUGCAAGCGAAUGAUAAAAUCAUACCAAAAGCACGAUCAUUAUCUGGGUUCGAUAAUUCAAGCAUCGUUAUGAAAGGGGAAGUUGUAUUAGCUACAUUUGCAGAAAGUGUCAUCAAAGAUACUAAGUUCUGAGUAAUAGAAGCAGACAUGGCCUAUAAUAUAAUCUUGGGUAGGCCAUGGAUUUAGGAUAUGGAUGUUGUCCCAUCCAUGUUGCAUCAAGUCAUCAAAUUUCUAUCACAGUGGGGGAUCCAACAAAUCCGAGGAGAUCAACAGGCAUCACAAAAUAUUAAUUCAAUGGUGAUCGCAAAUACAACAACCAAUGACGUAGAUGCGAAAUAGCAAUUAAAGAAUUCAGUUGAGGACAAUUCUACUCACAUCUCAACUGAAAGUCUACAAGGUCAAACUGAUAUGGAUUCAAGACCUGGUAUGAUUCAAGAACAAAAGGAAAAUGACAAUAUCAAAACAAUCACGAAGGAGCUUGAAUCUGUAAUAUUAUUUAUCCACUAGCCUAACAGAAUAGUAUAUAUCGGAGCAAACUUGAGCCUAAAAUGAAAGGUAGGUUAAUUGAAUUCUUACGUGCUAAUUCAUAUUACUUUUCUUGGUCGCAUUCAGAUAUUACAUGUAUACGAUCAGUGGUAAUGAUUCAUAAGUUGAAUGAGGACCCAUUAAAUCUAUCUGUCAAAUAGAAGAAAAGGAAGCAAGGAGCAUUUAAAAAUCAAGUAAUCUGAGAUGAGGUAUAAAAACUUCUGAAAACUGGUCCAAGACGAGAGGUAAAGUACCCUGACUCGUUAGCUAAUAUAAUUGUGGUUCCAAAGAAGAAUGAAAAGUGGCGAGUCUGCGUAGAUUAUACUGAUUUAAAUAAGGAUUUUCCUAAAGAUACAUUUCCUUUACUGCACAUAGACCGGUUAAUUGAUUCUACCUCAGGUAAAUUUUUAAGUUUUUUAGAUGCUUAUUCUGGUUAUAAUCAGAUAAAAAUGGACCCUCUAGAUGAGGAAAAGACUUCAUUUAUCAUAGAUAGGGGGACUUAUUAUUAUAAAGUCAUGCCAUUUGGCUUGAAAAAUGCUGGAGCGACACAUCAAAGAUGGGUGACCAAUAUGUUUCAAGAACACUUGGGAAAAAUUAUGGAGGUCUACAUAGAUGAUAUGUUCGUCAAGUCAACACAGGUAGUGGGCCAUAUUCAAUAUUUGGCUGAAACCUUCGAAAUUCUCCACAAGUACAACAUGAAGUUGAACCCGGGAAAAUGCACUUUUGGCAUGGCUUCAGGUAAAUUUUUAGGUUUUUUUAUUUCUAACAGAGGUAUUGAAGUAAAUAUUGCACAGAUCAAAGCAAUUAAGCAAAUAUUUGAUGUACUCACGGGCAAAAAGAAGUACAGAAAUUAAGAGGUAGAGUAGCAGCUCUGGGAAGGUCUAAAUCUUCCAAAAAAUGUUGUAAGUUCUUUUCAGUAUUGAAAAAGCAAAAUCAGUUUGAUGGACUGAUGAUUAUCAACAACGUCUGAAGGUUAAAGUAAUACUUGUCAAAACUGCCCCUGUUAGCAAAUCUAGAAGACAGGGAAAGAUUACUUAUUUACCUUAUUGUGUCAGAAGUGGCGGUAAGCUUAGUACUGGUACGUGAAGACAAAGGUAACAAUCUCUUAUCUAUUAUAUUAGUAAGCCUUUAUUAUAUGCUGAGACACGGUACCCUCACUUAGAAAAACUUACAUUAGCUUUAAUUAUGGCAUCAAGGAAGUUACCACCUUACUUUCAACAUCAUCACAUUUCUGUUAUAACUGCUUUUCCACUAAGGAAUAUAUUACACAAGCAAGAAUUAUCAGGAAGGUUAGCUAAAUGGGCUAUAGAUCUUAGUGAAUAUGAUAUUAUAUAUUAGUCUAAAACUGCUAUAACGUCUUAGGUGUUAGUAGAUUUCGUAGCAAAUUUUAGCUCAAGCCUAAUUCCUGAAGCAGAAAAAGAGUUGCGAAUAAUUACCAAAGCUAAUCCGAGGACUUGGACCUUGUUUACUGACAGUCCUUCAAAUGUUAAAGGAGCAGGUUUAGGAAUUGUUUUAAUUCUGCCUUUAGGAGAAAUCAUAAGGCAAGCAAUAAAGUGUUAUCCAAUUAUUAACAAUGAGGCAGAGUAUGAAGUUGUGAUUGCAAGUUUGUAGCUCGCAAGAGGGCAUAGUAUUAGCAAAUCAUAAUCAAAAGCGACUCGCAGCUAGUAGUCAAUCAAAUUCAAGGAACUUACGUGGCAAGAGAAACACGAAUGCAGCAGCACCUCGAAAAGGUAUGAGAAUUAUUUAGGCAAUUCCAAACAUGGAAAGUGGAACAAAUACCCAGGGAGGAAAAUGCAGAAGCAGACACAUUGGCAAAUCUUGCACUCGCGGCUGAUGCAACAAAUGCAGAAAAUGCAUUUGUGGUACACUUAUUUCAUUCAGCCCUCGACCAAACCAAAAAUGAGGUAAAUUUCAAUAAUUUAACUUGGGAUUGAAAAAACGAUUUUGAGAACUUUUUGCAGUAUGGAAUUUUUCCCGAUGAUAAAAAGAUCCUGAUUGCUACGGUUGAAGGCUGCUCAGUAUUCCCUGAUAGGGGGAAAUUUUUAUCGCAAAAUAUUUGGUGGACUUUAGCACGAUGCCUUGGACCUUCACAAACAGAAUAUGUAAUGGGAGAAGUAAAUAAGGGGCACUGCGGUAAUCAUGCCGGGGAAGAUCAUGUAAAAACAUUAAUAAGAGCGGGAUAUUAUUGGCUAAAAAUGAAAGAUAAAGUAGAAACUUCCGUAGCAAGGUGCGAUAAGUGCCACCAGUUAUAUCACCAUAUCCAUUCAUGAAAUGGGGCAUGGAUAUCGUAGGACCACUGCCUCAAACUAAGGGAAAGGUACGGUUUUUGUUAAUUCUAAUCGAUUAUCUCAAAAUGGGUAGAAGCGGGUGCCUUUAAACAGGUUCAAGAAAAAGAAGUUCAGUUAUAUCAUCGUGGAUAUUCAUGAAAUGGGGCAUGGAUAUCGUAGGACCACUACCUCGAGCUAAGGUAAAGGUACAAUUUUGGUUAAUUCUAACCGAUUAUCUCAAAAUGGGUAGAAGUGGGUGCCUUUAAACAAGUUCGAGAAAAGGAAGUUAUAGACUUCAUUUGGAGAUGUGACGACCCGGUCAGUUGUCUCAUGCGUUACUGCUCUGUUUCCCCCAUUUCUACUUCCUAUUGCUUUGUCUAUCGAUUCUAGGUGUGAUUGGGUUGGUUGGCUUGGGUUCGGAAAGGUUUUGGUGAGGUUUGAGAUAUUUAGUCUCUUCUGAGGAAGCUUAAGUUGAAAAAUUCAACCGGAUGUUGACUUAUGUGUUAGAGGGCUCGGAUGUGAGUUCCGAGGGUUCGGAUAGUUUCAGGAGGUGAUUUGAGACUUAGAAGCGUGAUCAGAAUAAGUUUUGGAGGUCUGGAGUAGAUUUAGGCUUGAAUUAGUGAAGUUGGAAUUUUGGCAUUUUUCGGUUGAUAGGUGAGAUUUUGAUAUAGGGGUCAGAAUGGAAUUCCGCGAGUUGCAGUAGUUUUAUGGUGUCAUUUGGGAUGUGUGUGUAAAAUUUCAGAUCAUUCGGACGUGGUUGGGUAUACUUUUUUAUCAAAAGUGUAAUUCGGAAUAUUUUGGAAACUUAGGCUUGAAUCAGAUGUGUUUUGGUUGAUUCGAUGUUGUUUGAGGUGUUUUGAAGAUUGGUAUAAGUUGGAGUAGUGGUAUAUGAUGUGUUGGUGCUUUUGGUUGUGGUCCCGGGGGCCUCGGGGCGAUUUCGGAUGGUUGGUGAAAAGUUUAGGAAUUUGGUUUGGCAGCUGCAGUGUUAGAAUUGUUGUCAUAACCGCACCUGCGUCUAGGGGACUGCAGGUGCGGUCUCGCAGAAACGAAAAGGGAGCCACAUAUGUGGCCAAGUGUAGGGUUGGCAGGAACCGCAGAAGCGGUAGAAGAACCGCACCGGUGUUGGCGCAGGUGCGGGUUAGGCAUCGCAGAUGCGGAGUCUGAGGGUCUUAAGUGAAAACCGCAGAAGCAGAUCAUAGAAUGCAAAAGCGGUACCGCAGAAGUGGAAAAUUGGUCACAGGUGCAGAAUCCCUGGGCCAGAAGGUAUAAAAGCAAUCGUUCGCGAUUUUUUAGUUGUUCUUCACCAUUUCAAGUCAUUUUUGGAGCUUUUUGGGAGAUUUUAAAGAGGGAAUCAAGAGAUAUCGUCUGGAGGUAAGAUUUUUGAGUCUAAUAAUCAAUUAUAUGGUAUUAUUUCAUGGAUUAGAGCUGUAAUUAUUGGAAUUUAAGGGUUAAAAUUGGGAAAACCAAGGCUUGGUAUUGGAGACCUAGACUUGAGGAUUUGAGGGGCUAUUUAUAGUCGAAUUUUAGGACUUUUGAUAUGUAUGAACUCAUGGGAAGAUAAGGAAUCUAUUGAUGUAAAUUUUAUCGAAUUUCGAGAUGUGGGCUCGGGGUCAGAUUUUGGUAAUUUCGGGAUUUAUGUUGUAAAUUGAUUAUUUUCGCAUGGGCUUUGUUCCCUUACCGUAUUUUGACGUCGUGAUUCAGAUUUUGGAUAGAUUUGAUGCGAGUUGAGGCCGAUUCGAGGGGCAAAGGCGUUGCGGGCUAGAGUUUGUACCGGAUUGAGGUGAGUAAUGAUUUUAAAUAUUGUCCUAAGGGUAUGAAAUCUCGGAUUGCACAUCGUUGUGCUAUAUUGAGGUGACACACACUCUAGAUGACGAGUGUGGGGUCGUGCAUUCUUGGGGAUUGUGACUUAGUCCAUCCCGAAUGACUAUUUUACCGCGUAUUUGAUUGAAAACUGUUUGCUAUCAUCUUAUUUUGGGCUAAUGCCAUAUUUGGGCCCCGUGCAAACUCUUUGAAUCCUUGGGGGAUUUUUACUGAUAUUUCCUCACUGUUUUGACUUUAUACUUGUACUCAGUCAUGCUAUAUUCUACUGUUUCCAUAACUCAAUCAUGUUUACUCUGUUUUAACACUUAAAAGGAUAUUUUGGGCUAAGCAUCAUGUUUUACUGUUUCUCGAGUGGCUUGUGUGAGCACAUGAUUUUUGCCCUAUAGGAAUUACUCCCAUAAAAUACAAGAAAAAUAAUUUUUUCCAUUUCUUACAAUUUUAUAGGAUUUUGUAAAAUUUGUGCUAAUUAUUUGCAUUUCUAAGCAUGUUUAAUUUUUGUUAAAAUCAUGAAAAUGCCAAAAAUACUAUGUAUUGCAUUUAUGUUUUAUUUUUAUAUUUUUAGGAUUAAUCAGUACUUGCUUAUUUUAUAGAAAAGGGGAAAAUCACAAAAAUUGGCUUACUUUUGCAUUUUUAGCCUUUUAAUUUAAAUUAGUAAUUUUCUCUUUUAAUUUAGGAGUAAUUAAUUUUUGUAAAUAUUAGAGUAGAUAAUCAGCUUAAUUUUUUCAAAUUAAUUAUUUUAGGGGUUUUAAUAAUUAAAAUAGGAAAACAAAAUUGAAAAAAAGAAAGGAAAAAGGGAAUUAAUAAAAUAGGGCUAUUGUAUAAUGGAACAAAAUGCAAAGCCCAAACCCCCUACCCGUUUCCCGUUCCAACCCAGGACCAGUUACCCGGUCCAGCUCCCCUUUAAUUAACCAAACAAUCUUGUUUUGGACCACCCAUCUCAACCGUUGGAUCAAUGAGAUCCAACGGACCGGAACUCAUCCAUUCUCUAAUAUAAAAAUGUCCUAAUCGGUCACCCCUCCCCCGAGUCUAACCCCUUCAGUUCCUAUCUCACACCCCGUCUCUAAAACCCCUAAAAUCUGCUACUUCAAAUUCCCAAAUCCCCACCGACCGGGGGCGUGACCAAAUCGACCCCAAAUUCAUACCACGCAACCCCUAGGCCCUCCUAAGUCCUAUCCCCGUAUCUAUUUCCCAAAAAUCCCAACAAAAUUCCUCCAAUUCUAAAUUUAGGAAUUUCAGAAACCCUAAAUGGUCCUCCUUUUUCUGAUUUCAUGCAAACUCCGGCUCGUUUUAACCUAGAACUUACAUCAGUCGAUUGCUUUCAACGAGAGCAAUCGAUUGGUAUUAGUUUUAGUUCAUUCUAAGGUCAUCGGAUUUUGGCUGACUCACCGGAUUCCGGCAAGCUUCGUCAAACGAUGUCGUUCAUCGAGUCACUCAUCUGUUUCUGGUAAGUACAAUACAUAUUUUUCCCUUUUGAUUGCAUGUCCAUUUCUUCUUUUUCCGUAUUAGUUGGAGUUUUGUAUGACCUAGUUCUAUUUUUAAAAUAUAUAUAUAUAUAUAUAUAUAUUAAUAGUCUAUUGUGCUUAAUUGCAUCAAAAUUGUUUUGUUUUCUUAUUCGCUGUUUAUCCAUUAUUUUAUUCAUUUUUUUUUCAUCCAGUUUAGUCUAUAGGAUUAGAGUUAUUGCUCAAAAUCGAUUAAGUAUUUUUUGGCUUGGUUGGUCCACUUAUGGACCAAAUUGUUUGUGUUCUAUCUGUGACCUGGUUCUUUUCUUCUUCUUCCUUUCGAUUUGACCUUAAGCUUGGGUCACAACUUGAGUUUCAAUGCUCAUUUUGGAUGGUUUGGGUUUCAGCAUUGGGCUUUUUGGUCAUCUCUGACCCAGUUCAAAGAGGCUCGUUCAUUUUGGUUUGGGGUCUUGGGUUAAUUUGACCCAGGGGCGAUUUUCUAAGUGUGAAUACAGGGGUGUCGAGGGUUGUUUUGGGUAUUUGGGGGUUGAGGGAAUAUUUUCUGUUAUAGAAAACUUCUAGAGGAUAAGGGUAGGUUGACUUGCAGACUAAGAAACAAAGGUUUUAGAUAUUUUGAAUGGUUAGAAGGGUAUAAUAAUUAAGAAUUAAAGGGGUAGAAUGGGAAUUAGUUAACCAGGCUAAGGCUGCCUUAGGAUUGCCUAUAUAAGAGCCCUUUUCUUUUAUUUUGAGGUAGCCAUUCAUACUCUGAAAAACACUAAAGGUUCUGCAUCAUUUUUGGUUGAAAAAUUGUUUAAAAUUGCUUCUUGGUUUUCACUUAAACGAGUUACUGAUUAUCUAGGGUUUAAGAUGGUUCAAGGAAGUUGAAUAUGGUUGUUUGACCUGUUGAUUUGCUCACUCUUUUGCUAUUGCUGAAGUCCUCAUUAUUUCUUAUUUAUUUUGACCUCCAGGUACUCUUUGGCCCCUAAUGCUAUGCGAGGUGCAAAUCUG